rnacentral:rRNA from 1 species
CAAUAGCGUAUAUUAAAGUUGCUGCAGUUAAAAAGCUCGUAGUUGGAUUUGUGGCGCGGCCGUCCGGCGGGGCUCUUUCAUUAGGGCCGUUUGUCCGGUUUUUCGGUCCGCUCCAUUCUCGGGUAGCGUGUCGCUGGCAUUAGGUUGUCGGCUUCUUCGCGCCCGUCGUUUACUGUGAAAAAAUUAAGAGUGUUCAAAGACAGGCUUAGGCCGUUGGAUACAUUAGCAUGGAAUAAUGAGAUAGGGCCACGACGGUCUAUUUUGUUGGUUUGCACGUUGUGGUAAUGAUUAACAGGAACGGUUGGGGGUAGUUCUAUUCAAUGUCAGAGGUGAAAUUCUUGGAUUAUGGAGACGAACUACUGCGAAAGCAUUUACCAAGGAUGUUUUUCAUAAAUUCAAGAACGAAAGUUAGGGGAGUCGAAGAUGAUCAGAUACCGU